AACCGACUAAUGUUGAAAAAUUAGCGGAUGACCUGUGGCUGGGGGUGAAAGGCCAAUCAAACCGGGAGAUAGCUGGUUCUCCCCGAAAGCUAUUUAGGUAGCGCCUCGUGAAUUCAUCUCCGGGGGUAGAGCACUGUUUCGGCUAGGGGGCCAUCCCGGCUUACCAACCCGAUGCAAACUGCGAAUACCGGAGAAUGUUAUCACGGGAGACACACGGCGGGUGCUAACGUCCGUCGUGAAGAGGGAAACAACCCAGACCGCCAGCUAAGGUCCCAAAGUCAUGGUUAAGUGGGAAACGAUGUGGGAAGGCCCAGACAGCCAGGAUGUUGGCUUAGAAGCAGCCAUCAUUUAAAGAAAGCGUAAUAGCUCACUGGUCGAGUCGGCCUGCGCGGAAGAUGUAACGGGGCUAAACCAUGCACCGAAGCUGCGGCAGCGACACUAUGUGUUGUUGGGUAGGGGAGCGUUCUGUAAGCCUGUGAAGGUGUGUCGUGAGGC
rnacentral:rRNA from 1 species